rnacentral:ribozyme from 2 species
CCUGUAACUCCUCCAGGGGCUACUGCCGGUCCCAAGCCCGGGUCAAGGAGGAGGGUUGG